GCGGGGUGGAGCAGUCCGGUAGCUCGUCUGGCUCAUAACCAGAAGGUCAAGGGUUCAAAUCCCUUCCCCGCUUCCA
rnacentral:tRNA from 1 species